UGCGCAGGCGGGCUAUUAAGUCAGUGGUGAAAUCUCUCGGCUCAACCGAGAAACUGCCAUUGAAACUGAUAGUCUUGAGUAUGGUUGUGGUAGGCGGAAUAUAGCAUGUAGCGGUGAAAUGCUUAGAUAUGCUAUAGAACACCGAUCGCGAAGGCAGCUUACCAAACCAUUACUGACGCUCAUGCACGAAAGCGUGGGGAGCAAACAGGAUUAGAUACCCUGGUAGUC
rnacentral:rRNA from 1 species